UUUCUUAAUAAGUUUAUUGUCUUAAUUUAUUAUUUACGAAACUGCAGAAUAAAUUUGACUUGGAUUUGAGUGUUCCGCACAUCUCCCAUGCCGUCGACAACAUGAUGAAGGAGCGGUUCAAGGAUUACUGCAGUAAGUUACACCGGUAGUACAAGCGGUGCAUGAGCCACGAGGAGGCCGUACAGUUCGCACCGUUGCACAUGACCGAUGAGGACUGGCGGAUACUCUGCGAUAGGUUUUUGUCUGAUUCUUUUUAGGUAAUAUUUACAUAUUUAUGAUAUCUUAACGUAAUAAUUAAAUUCACAAUUAAUAACAAUGUAUUAUGAAUAAUGUGUUCAGAAGAGGAGCAAAAUACAUUCUGACAAUAGAAGAAAGUUAGAAGUGAACCACGUAGCUGGUUCAAAGUCAUUUGUACGACUUUAUCACGACAUGCGAGAUUCCGUCACUGGCCAGGAGCACGGACCAGUAGAGUUCUAUAAAGGGACUCACUGUUGGCAGGCGACGGGAUCUUGGGUACAUCCUAGAGCCAGCGAGAUUUGGGAGGAGAUGGACACCUAACGCAGUCAGCCCACUCCUGAUGGUACUCAGAAGAGUGAGCCAGAGAUCCUGAGUCAGGUGCUUGGCACCUGUUCUGGAUAUGUGCAUGGGUUUGGCCAUGGUGCCAAGCUCAUGGCACCCGCUAGAGCUACCUCUAGCCGAUCCAUCCUCGUUGGUGACAGCGACGUAUGCCGAGCUGAUACCGCAGAGAGAGGUUUAGCAGCUACGGGUCAUCAUCGAUGACAUCAAAGAUCAGCUAGACAGGCAGACGGAGGAGCAGGAAAGGAAGAUGAUGGAUCAGCUGGUGA